rnacentral:tRNA from 1 species
GAGAUGUAGUUCAGUGGUAAAGUGCUUGCCUAGGAUGUAUGAGGCCCUAGGUUCUAUCCCUAGCACUCCCC